CCGCCGUGUCCAAAAUCAUGCAAACGCCGCGUAUAGCGGGAUUUUCUUAAUCUCCCUCCAGGUCGAAACCCGCGGAGUAUGGAGGGAAAUUGGGGAAAACGCGUGGAGUGUACUUUAUGAGCAUUCCCUUUGCUAGGCUCCAUGUUUGUUGAUAAGUUGCACAAACAUUGUCGUAAAGAUAAACAAACAAAAAAUUCCAUCUGCUUUCGUUAGCUUUAAAAAGUUGGAAGUCCUGACUUCCAAGCCUAAAAUUUUGGACGUCCCAGACAUAAAUUUUGAAGUCUCACUUUUAUUUCAGAAUUGUAAUAUACGUUCAUGUUCCAACUCUAUCAAUUACCCGAUAAUACAGUAUUAUUACGAUUUCUAUUUUCAAAACCCAAAAAAGGCUAAUAUUGAAGUCCGCAAACAUCUGCCGUUUUACGCAAGUGCAUAUACAAAUUGAAUUGUGGGAUGGGGGAAUUCCCAUUAAACACACGCGUUAAUCACGUGACGCGAUUUUAGAGCACUGUUCAUAUUUAGUAAUUACGACAAAUCAACGACUGAAUUUAAAAUGUUACAUGUACCUCCUUUCAGAAAAGUUUGGGUAAAUGAAAGCGAAUUUCGGAACAUACGAACGCGUCAUUUUAAAAAUUUUACCGUGUACACUUCAUUCCGACCGCAAUAUAACUUGUCAGGUCAUUCAUGCAUGUAGACCAAUAUGUAUGCAUAGUUUGGCAAUCUCAAAACACGUUGUUUUACUACUUAUUGCAUUAUGUGUUAUGGCCAUAGAUAUAACAAAAUACAUUAUUCAAUUUUAGUUUUUUCAAAUGCACAUAAUUAAACAUGUUAUCCGAAAUCAUUUCCAGAUUUUAUUAUUGAUGGAAAGUUAAGAAAAUUUGAGCAACAAAUAAACAUUUCUCGUGUGUGUCGGGUACAGAUAAAAAUCAUGCGAUAAUUAGACUUCAUGUACAACAUCACAUCAUUCUUCCUCGUGGAAAGCGUGGACUUAAAUAUUUGAUUUCUAAAUAAAAACUUCAUAGCGCAGAGGUCGCUAAUAUUAUUGUACACAGCUACACGUGGCGUCGGCGUGUAUUCGGUUGCCUGAGCGCUGAGCCAGAUGCGCUUAUCAAGCAGAAUUUGAUUGACAGCUGGAAAAUCAAUAUUGGCCACUCGCUGAGAAAUUCAUUGAAAACAGUAGCUCUUAGGCGAACUGAAUGACCAAUUUACUGUUGAGUGUUGACAUUUAAACGUGUUGUGUAUUUGACAAUAGUGUACAUGCCUAAUUAACCUAAAUAAACAUUAAACAAAUAUCGAAAUUUUUUCAAUUCAAUGUCGCACAUAUUAUUCAACCGAUGGCCGCUAUUUUUGUUUAUAAUCUCACUGUGUAACAUAGUGGGUGGGGUAAACAUGAUGAAAAACGCCGGAAUAAGGAGAAAAACAUUUGAAUAUAGGGGUUUAUUGUAUGAACCUUCAUUUGUAAGGAGGAUUUACUGAAUGGUGAAGAUGUUGCAAAGUGCCCAAGUUGUUCCCUUUUAAUCAAAGUAAUUUACAAUAUUGAUGAUUUUUUGGAAGGUGAAGAAAUUUCAGCGCCUGCUAAACCAGUCCUAGAAAAGGC